rnacentral:rRNA from 1 species
AUACGUAGGUGGCAAGCGUUGUCCGGAAUUAUUGGGCGUAAAGGGCGCGCAGGCGGCUUCUUAAGUCUGUCUUAAAAGUGCGGGGCUUAACCCCGUGAUGGGAUGGAAACUGGGAAGCUCAGAGUAUCGGAGAGGAAAGCGGAAUUCCUAGUGUAGCGGUGAAAUGCGUAGAUAUUAGGAGGAACACCAGUGGCGAAAGCGGCUUUCUGGACGAAAACUGACGCUGAGGCGCGAAAGCCAGGGGAGCGAACGGGAUUAGAUACCCCGGUAGUCCUGGCCGUAAACGAUGGGUACUAGGUGUAGGAGGUAUCGACCCCUUCUGUGCCGGAGUUAACGCAAUAAGUACCCCGCCUGGGGAGUACGGCCGCAAGGUUGAA